UACGGAGGUGGCAAGCGUUGCUCGGAAUCACUGGGCGUAAAGGGCGCGUAGGCGGGGAGGUAAGUCGGGUGUGAAAUCCCUCGGCCCAACCGAGGAACUGCGCCCGAGACUGCUUCUCUUGAGUCCCGGAGAGGAAGAUGGAAUUCCCGGUGUAGCGGUGAAAUGUGUAGAGAUCGGGAGGAACACCGGUGGCGAAGGCAGUCUUCUGGACGGUGACUGACGCUGAGGCGCGAAAGCGUGGGGAGCAAACGGG
rnacentral:rRNA from 1 species